rnacentral:rRNA from 1 species
UGGGGAAUAUUGGACAAUGGGCGCAAGCCUGAUCCAGCCAUGCCGCGUGAGUGAUGAAGGCCCUAGGGUUGUAAAGCUCUUUCACCGGUGAAGAUAAUGACGGUAACCGGAGAAGAAGCCCCGGCUAACUUCGUGCCAGCAGCCGCGGUAAUACGAAGGGGGCUAGCGUUGUUCGGAUUUACUGGGCGUAAAGCGCACGUAGGCGGACUAUUAAGUCAGGGGUUAAAUCCCGGGGCUCAACCCCGGAACUGCCUUUGAUACUGGUAGUCUUGAGUUCGAGAGAGGUGAGUGGAAUUCCGCGUGUAGAGGUGAAAUUCGUAGAUAUUCGGAGGAACACCAGUGGCGAAGGCGGCUCACUGGCUCGAUACUGACGCUGAGGUGCGAAAGCGGGGGGAGCAAACAGG